GGACUCACUAUUUCAUUUUAAAUUCCCUGAAAUGUCUUCGUGACAGAUAAAAGUGCAGUGUCUAUGAUAGGUCAAAGUUAAGCUGAAGUUUAUGGGCAAGGACAACAUACAAGUCUCUCAUAUAAAUGUAACCUAAGUGCGUCCGUUAAAGACAUAUGUUGAAAAUGAACAUAUUUUAGACAUGGGAUUUUAAAAGUGAUGAAUAGAUGGCACCACUUCUUAAUUCUAAACUAACUUCUCCACUAGCACUAGCUUUCUACAUAGCCCUUUGGAAAUCGCAAAAAUCUAUCAAUGGUUCUUGAAGAAGCAUGGAUUAGAAGUGUGAGAGAACUGUUUCUUUGGGCUUAGCUAUUGGCUUCUCUAAUCACCAAGAGAUAUGCAUACAAAAAAACAUUCUCCAUGAGUAGCAGAUGCAUAUAAGUCACAAAAAGGCAUGGAAUCCAUUAGGGUCCUU